rnacentral:rRNA from 1 species
UACGUAGGGGGCAAGCGUUGUCCGGAAUUAUUGGGCGUAAAGCGCGCGCAGGCGGUCAUUUAAGUCUGGUGUUUAAGCCCGGGGCUCAACCCCGGUUCGCAUCGGAAACUGGAUGACUUGAGUGUAGGAGAGGAAAGUGGAAUUCCACGUGUAGCGGUGAAAUGCGUAGAUAUCGGAAGGAACGCCGGUGGCGAAAGCGACGUGCUGGACCUCUUCUGACGCUGAGGCGCGAAAGCCAGGGGAGCAAACGGG